rnacentral:rRNA from 1 species
UGCCAGCCGCCGCGGUAAGACGAAGGUGGCAAACGUUGCUCGGAAUUACUGGGCAUAAAGAGCGCGUAGGUGGCGUGGUCAGCGAGUGAUGAAAUCCCAUGGCUCACCCAUGGAACUGUUGCUCGAACUGCCAUGCUUGAGGACGGGAGGGGAAGGUGGAAUUCCUGGUGUAGCGGUGAAAUGCGUAGAUAUCAGGAGGAACACCGGUGGCGAAAGCGACCUUCUGGCCCGUUCCUGACACUGAGGCGCGAAAGCUAGGGGAGCAAACAGGAUUAGAUA